CAGUCGGUUGAGCGUCCGACUUCAGCUCAGGUCGUGAUCUCACAGUCUGUGAGUUCGAGCCCCGUGUCAGGCUCUGCACUGACCGCUCAGAGCCUGGAGCCUGCUUCCGAUUCUGUGUCUCCCUCUCUCUCUCUGCCCCUUCCCCGUUCAUGCUCUGUCUCUCUCUGUCUCAAAAAUAAAUAAAAACAUUAAAAUAAAAUAUUAACGUUUUAGAGAAGGCAGUGUUUUUCUACGGAUAAAAGUUUGAAACAGUGUUUACUUCCUUUUCUAUUCUUUGUGUUUUACUAUAGAAGCACAGUAUUGUAUAUGUACAGCUUGUAAAUACAAGUCCAGCACAGACAUAUUUCAAAAAAAAUUUUUACUAACUGGGGUGGACUCUCAAAAUAGUGGGAGAAUACUGGUCUACUGAAGGGAAUGAGAGAGGUAUUUAACGUUCUUCCCGAUUAAGAGCUGAGGUGGAACAGAUCUAAAGACUAAGGCAGGGUAUAUAGUCAGACAACUGGAAAUCAGAAGGUGUUCACAGUAGUUUUGAAAAAUUAGACAGCUUCAAGCCCUAGAGUUCAAAGUGCCAGGAAAAACAGCCUACAGAUGUUUUUAGACAGUCAAUGCGCAGCAGAAGGGAGUGACAGAAGGGGUUUCCUGGAGAAGGGAAGCUCCUUGUGUGCUAAUGCUUCUGUGAAGGACCCCAGGAGUCCCGAUUCUCUGAAACUGCUUUUCAUCGGUUGUAAGACAGAACUCUCUAGGCCUUCUGAUGCCUUUGAGAACUAUAUUGAAAUUUGACUUUGUCAAAAUGAGAUCUUACUAUAAAAUUACAUUUGUUGUAUUUCAAGACGAUAAACAGUGAGGAAGAACUGUACCUGUAUAUUCACUUGAUAAUCCGUGGGUCCGUGGAUAGAGCCAUACAAACCAAAUCCGACUAUAGAGAUUCUUCUAUUAACUGUGAACCUGAGAGAAUGAAGCCAAAUAUAAAAUAAUAUACAUAAUUCAUUAAGUAUUCAUAGUCUGAAGGCCUAUAAAAUUUUUAAGUGCUACCUGGAAUACAUUUUGCUCAUAAAAAGGAAACCUGUCAUAAAUUUGAUAUCCUUGGAAGUGUCAUCUGCUUACCAAAAAACUCUUUCUAGAAAAAAUUUUAACUUAAUGGGAACUUAAGUAGAAGUUGUUUUCUGUACUGUACAUUUUUGAGAGUCAAAGGAAAUUAUUUAACCUAAAUGCCCACUUUUGUUGUAAUGACCAUCUUAAUGAUGUCUUAGUCCAAACGUCUGCACAUCUUCAUGAUACAAAGGCCCAGAGCCCAGCAAGUCCAAUCUGUAACAACUUACCAGUUCUAUGAAUACUUACUAGGGGCCUGUCAGAGUUAAAUACUGGGCACCACACUGCGCUUAGAGCCCAAAGGAGGACAUGAAUAACAAAAAAGUAAACAAAGGGAUCAGUCAACAACCGUAGGUUGGGGUAAGAGUUGAGAGGGAAGCUGCUGUAACAGAACACUGGUGGUGCAGGGCUGGGGCCAGGCCCUCACUUACACAGAUGGAUCAGAAUGAGGGUUCAUACUAGAACAAUCAGCAGGAACAGUUUGGUCAUAGGAGUUAAGAAACAGACCCAUCUUGCUCCACUUUACCAAUGUAGGAAAACUGACCGAGAGUACAAACAGCAUGAAAGAUGUAAUCAGAGAUAAUCCGUCACAUCAAGCAGUCACCCUCCACAUGUUCAGCAGCAACUUCGAUGAUCAAUAUUGUUAACCGCCACGCCGAGUACUUCCUGUGCUGGGCGCUGCCCGGCCAUCCUUUUACAUGAAUUAUUUCCUUGAAUCAUUGUAAUGGCUGGAUAGACUAACACAGUGUUGUUCGUACCCCUGGUCUUUACAGUGGAGGCAACUGAGGUUUAGAGAAAUUAACUUGCCUGGGGCAAGAAGUGUGGCGGGCCAAAGGGCCCGCACUCCCCCACCGCUAUGCUAAAACUCCCAGCACAGGGCGAAGACCACCUUAACAUUUUUUAAAUAUGUCAUUUAUAAUAUAGUUUUUCCUUAUUUUAAAAAAGCAAUAUAUUCUCUGUGGGGGCAAAAAAAGUAGAAAUGCAGCUAAUCAAAUACGGAACAUUUUAAAGCAUCUCUAGAUCCCAUGUAGCUUUUGGUGCUUUCUCUUUUUAGACUUAGUUCUAUUUUUUAGCAAUGGGAAAAUAGACUUGUUUUCUAUGAACAUGUUAUUUACAAAUCAUCUCAGUUGUAUAUAUGUGUAUAAAUACUUCUUUUUCAUUUAAAAAGGUAAAAGAUUACUACUGCUCCACUAGAUCUGAUUUCUCAUUGGAUAAUCCAGGUUAUUUGCAGUUUUUAUUAUGUGACAGUGCCAUGAGGAACAAUCUUGCAGCUAAACCACUUUGCGGAGCCUUAAUUAUGUCCUGAGAAUAAAUUCUUAGAAUUGCUGAGGAAAAUGAAAGGCGUGUUCUUAAGGCUUUAGAUAAACGUUAUCAAACUGCUUUCCGGUGGAAGUGUUCACCCCACAGGGAACGAAGAUCGUUUCUAUCUGAUGCCCAGCAACUGUGAGUAUUUCUAUGUCUUUGUGCCACUGACAAACUGAUGACUGACAAAUUCUAUUUUCUUGGAUUAUUAAUGAGUUAAAACAUUUGCUCGAAUAUUUACCGUCUACUGGAUUUUCUCUUUAAUAAAAUACUCAUGUUCUUUCCCCAUUUUUCUCUGCUGCUGAGUAUCUCUUUCAUGUGGAUUUGAAAGACCACGUUAUAUAGCUAUGCUCUGUCAGUAACUAUCCAUUAUGGCAAGUGUCCUGUUUGUCAUUUACUUAUUAACUUCACGGUGGCUGUGGACACAAAAACUUUGGAUUACCUGUAGUCGUAUAUUGACCCUGCCAAGUGGAGAGAGGCCUAUCUCCUCUGCAUCACAGUCACGUGUUCUUUUUUUUUUAAUAUUAAAUAAAUGGAUACAAAUAUUGGCAGAUGAUAUCAGCAGGGAAUCAAACUGUAUUUUCCCAGUGGUUGAUCCUUUCCUCAUCUUCUAAGUUUCUCCCCUCACAUUCUAUGCUCAUUUAGGUCAGUCUGCUUCCUGGACUCUGUAGAGUGUUCCAUACGGCACGAACUUACUUUAACUUUACAGUAGUCUUACAUUGGAUCCAUACUGCUCUUUUAAAACGAGAAAACUUACUCUUCCAGCUUAAUUUUAGAGUAACUGGGCCAAGCCAACGCUUCCUGCCAAGAGCACGUCACUGCUGCAGGCAGCUGCAGUCCACGCACUUAGCUUGGCAAGACAAUGGCUACGGGCAAGGUUCUCCGUUCUCCAUGAAGGUGCUGUUCUGUCUGCUUCCUACGGAAUCUAUUCCUGUUCCUUUAUGUUGUCACCAUUAUUUUUACUGAUCCUGAGGUCAUCGGGAUGGAUCAACUGUUCUCAAAAAGAGUCCCAGCCCCACGGAGACCAUGCUCUGUUUCCCACAAAGGCUCAGGGGUUCCAGUGGCAGCAAGAUUUACUGCAAUGAUCAGGACGGUCUCUGAAAACAAAGAAUCCCAGCCAAUUUUCAGGUGUCCUGUCGGAAUUCAUGGUUCUAAUUUCUUUAUCCUUCAUGACGACGUCACCCAGAACUCUAAGAAUGCUGCUGAAGUACAACGGUGAUGGCCAGCAUCCCUAUCCUGAGGUUUCAACAGUGAAUCGCGUUCAAGAUCUUCUAGACCUAGUCUAUUAGUAGUUACAUCUGGAAUGAAGGUGAAAUUUUAUCAAGUCUUUCCGAUAUCUACUGCAACAAUCAAAUCGCUUUUCUUCUUUCAUCUGCUGCUGUGGUGAAUAUAUAUUAAUACAUUUUUUCAAUCUUCAAAUAAACCCUGUUUGCUCAGGUAUUAUUUUUCUGAGGUAUUGCUAGAUUUAAGACACUGAUACCUUACGUAGAAGUUGUUCUUCUCUAUAAAUGAGAUUGAUCUAGAAACUUUCUUGUUUUAUCAAACUCCUGUAUAAGGGUUAUGCUUCUUUCAAUAAUGAACCAAGAAGUAUUUUCUUCUUUUAAUGCUCAAGGACCUGUUCCUUGAAGGUUUGAUAAAACUCACCUGUAACAACCACCUUGUGAAGGGACAGUUCUGUGAUAACUUUUAAUUCCUUCCAUUGGUAACUGGUCUAUUCAGGCUUUCUUCUUCAGUCAAUUUUGAUAAUUUAUAUUUGCCUAUAAAAUGAUCCAUUCCAUCAAGAUGUUCAAUUUAUUAGCACAGAGUAAACUCAGAAUUAAAAUAAAAACUGCCUUAGUAUAUGAUUAUAUUCCCAUUAUUAUUUCCAAAUGUAUGUUUUCUUUCUUUACUAUCUCUGCCAGAAGUUUAUUUAUUUUAUUGAUCUUUUUAAGGAACCAACUUAUGGAUUUCUUAAUUCUAUUUUUAAUUCAUUAAUUACGAGAUUUACCUAUUUCUCUUUUCUAUUGUUCUUUUGGCUAUUCGUUUUUCAGCUACUUGAGUUGAAUGCUUAAAUCAUUUAUUUCUACUCUAGUUUAUUUAGUAAAAGUAGAUCAUUGUUACUGUUUCUUUGUGUGACACUUUGGCCUCAUCUCAUAAAUUUUCAUAUAUGAUAUUCUCAUUGUGAGUAAUUAUUAAAUAGUCCACAAAUGCAUUUUAAAUUUCCAUUUUAACCCAACGUUUCUGAGUUCUCGCCCCCAGAGUUGUUUUUUAACAAGCUUGUUAUUAGCUCCUAGCUUUAUACUAAAGUGCUAUUAUAAAUAAGUACAAAUCCAAAAGGUAUAUUUUAUGGAAACUGAAACAUUCUAUUUUGACAUCUAGCCUAAAGAAAACAAGGUAGGGCAAAGAUAAAUUCCUCAACAGGAUUAUAUACACACGUCUCAAGAUUCUAGAUUUUUCACUCUUUUGUAACCGUACAUAGAACUAUCUCCCGUGCAAUAUCUUUGCAAACAAAAAGCUCACAUUAAACACAGUAGAAGCAAGUGUUUGAUUAAUGAAGGUGGAGACCCUGCUCUCCAGCAGUAGAGAUCCAAACAGAAUCCGUGCUGUGGAAAACCCCACCCGGCCCUCUCUAAGUUCACUUGUUUCCUGAGAGAUCCCCUCACUCCCAGUGCAGCGAGGACACUGCUGUAUCUUCCUGACUCUGGACUCCUGUAGUAACUCAGAAAUGUACUAAACAAAGCAGAAAAUAAAACGUGGUCAGCUGUCUCCCACGACAUGAGGACAAAAGAAAAAUGCUAGGUGCGGCCCCACGUCACCCCCGCGCCUGCAACGCGACAGACACCUGAU